UACGUAGGCAGCAAGCGUUGUUCGGAGUUACUGGGCGUAAAGGGUGCGUAGGCGGUUUGCCAAGUUUGGUGUGAAAUCUCCCGGCUUAACCGGGAGGGUGCGCCGAAAACUGGCAGGCUAGAGUGGGGGAGAGGAGAGUGGAAUUCCUGGUGUAGCGGUGAAAUGCGUAGAUAUCAGGAGGAACACCGGUGGUGUAGACGGCUCUCUGGACCCUAACUGACGCUGAGGCACGAAAGCGUGGGUAGCAAACAGG
rnacentral:rRNA from 1 species